rnacentral:pre_miRNA from 1 species
GGCAAAAUUGUUGGGUUAUAUCUAUGUUUAACUUUUUGAGGAAUUCCCAAUCUGCUUUCCAAACUCGCUGCACCAUUUUAUAACCCCAACAGCAAU